GUUAACUCCCUAACUCCCCAGAGCGGGGAAUAAAAGGGUUAACUCCCUAACUCCCCAGAGCUAUCAGAGCAGAGCAGAAAGAAAUGCCUAACUCCCCAGAGCUAUCAGAGCAGAGAAAAAAAAAAAAGAAAAAAUGCACCUGCAAGGUUGUUCUGUCUCAACGAGAUAAGUAAGACAAGUAACUGUUCUGUUCUGGGCACAUAGUGACUGGGCUAGGACCCCCAGUCUCCAUGGUUACUCAACCCCAAACCCCUCCAAUCAACUUCUGCCAAGUCCUAUCCUGCUCAAAAUUAACCAAUACAAUCUGCUUCUGUAAAUUUGCUUGCCUCCCUGCGCCCUUAAAAACCCUACACAAUUCCCCUUCGGAGCCCUCCGCACUUGUUUGCCUGGGGGACCCCAUGCGCAUGGAAAUAAACUUUUUUCCCUCACCAAGAAUUGAGUCCUUGGGGUUUCUUUCCCUGCGGCGUCGGCCCUAACAUCUUGGAGGCCCCAGCGAGAUAACACGUCUCACGGGAGGUGACCUCAACGGCUCUGCGGUGGGUUAAAAAGUAAAUGGCAGACUUUCUGCUCGUCUGAGUGGCCCACAUUCUCCGUGGGUUGGCCACCGGAGGGGACUUUCCACCUUCCCCUCAUCUUAGCAGUUAAGAACAUCAUCUUCUGCCCUGGACGAGAGGGCCACCCCGACCGGAUCGCCUACAUCUUGACAAAAAGCAGUGUGCCAUCCAGAUGAAGCCGGCUCUCUGAUCCGGAAUGCCAAAACCAUGUUCUCCUUUUGUGCUACCCUGACUGGACAUCCAGAGGUAAGGAGGUUUCCCAGUAUCGCCAGUUGUUCUCUUUGUAACUCAGUCGGCCCCACAUGUUAGACAAAAAUUACAAAGGUUUGAGAGGUUUAAGAAAAUGCCCCUCAGCCAGUUAAUAAAGAUAGCACAAAAAGGUCUUUAAAAACUAAAAAAUUUACAAAAAGAUAGCCAAGGUGUUAUAAAAAAAAAAAAAACCUUUAAAAAACAGACGAGAGUUUCUAGGGACAAUUGGAUACUGUAGGCUAAAUUUUACUAAAAUGCUUGCCUCUAUAUGACUCUCAUAAGGGAGAAACUCAAAAUUCGCUGAACUGGACUGAUAAAUGUAAACAGGCCUUCCAACAGCUCAAGCAGGCCUUGACAGAGGCCCCAGCCCUGGGACUCCCUGACAUUACCAAGCCUUUCACCUUGUUCAUAGAUAAACUCAGGGACAUUGCCAAAGGAGUCCUAACUCAGGACAUUGGCCCUUAAAAGAGGCCUAUAGCCUACCUCUCCAAAAGACUUAAUCCAAUAACAGGAGUAUGGCCCCCUGCCUUAAAAUACUAGCUACUGUGACAAUGUUACUUAAGGAAACAAAAAAACACGCUUUAGGCAAGUGAUUUCUGUGGUAACCUCUCACAGUUUAGAGACUCUUAUCAAAACCCCUCCUAAAAAAAGGCUCUCCAAUGCCAGAAUUCUACUGUCAAGCCCUGCUUCUAGACCCAGAGUCAGUGAUAUUCAAGACUUCUUCAGCUUUAAACCCAGCCACCCUUAUGCCUGAUGAUGACCUGGAGGAACAAAGGACACCUCUCCAUGAGUGUGCUGACAUCCUCAAACUACAGCGGAACCUACAGGCUGAUCUUACUGACCAGCUUUUGAAAAAUGCCGACAACUGUUCGAUGAAAGCAGCUUCAUCCAAAACGGCAGAGACAGAUGAGUGGCCGGGACAGCAGUGACCACCAAAAAGGAGGUACUCUGGGUUAAAGGGUUAGAGCCUGGCACCUCUGCCCAAAAGGCGGAGCUCAUUGCUUUGACUGAUGUACUAAAACUAGCCACAAAAAAGAGGGUAAACAUCUAUACUGAUAGUAAAUAUGCUUUUGCUACUAUACAUAUACAUAGAGCCAUCUAUUAAGAGCGAGGUCUCUUAACCUUGGCCAGAGCUAAGAUUAAAAAAAAAAAAAAAAAAAGAGGGCUCCACAAAUCCUAAAUUUGCUGACAGCAGUCUGGCUGUCAGCAGAUUACUGCUAUUCACCUGAGGAAACAAUUUGGCAGAUCAGGCCGCUAAAAGAGUAACAAUCACAUGAGAGAGGCCAGCCAAAAAAGUAACUGCUCUGAUGCGAGUCCCCCCGACCUUAUCAGAACCAGUCUACACAAAAAAAGACUACAUUGGUUGUUGUGAGCCAUCUAACGGAUUCCAGUCCCUGUGACUAAAAGACAAGUACAAAAUUUCUAAGAGCCACAGGACUGAUCCAGAGUUUGGGACCCUGGCAGAGGCCUGUUGUCUACCUUUCCAAGAGACUUGGUUCUGUGGCAACCAGAUGGCCACCCUGUCUGCGGUGAUUUCUUCAAUGGCCCCCUCAUAAAGGAGGCUUAAAAAUUGACUUUUGGACACAAACUCUUAAUUGUUUCCUCCUAUUCACUGGAGACUCUCAUCAAGGUCCCACCAGACUGAUGGAUGUCUAAUUCCUGAGCCAUACAUUAUCAGGCACUAUUUCUGAAAACAACAGCUUCAAACUCGGCUACUUUGCUGCCUGAGGAUGACCCCUCGUUGCCUCAUUGAUCACCUCACAGAACAUCGACCUUAUCUAGUUGAUAAGCUACUGUCUACAGUUCCAUCCUACUUCUCUGAUGAAAACAGUUAUGUCUCUCAAGAGCCCAUUUGCACUUAAAAAGACCAACAUCUGGCAGCUCAGCUUCCAAGAGAUUCCGGGGGCUAAUAUCAAGCUAGCCCAGUCUGUGAGCUUCAGAUGCCCUCAGUGCCAAUUGAUAAAUCUAAAAGUACUGCAACAAAUAAAAACCACUGGUUAUCGUGGGACUAUGCCUAAAAACACUAAAAAAUAGAUUUUACAAAAAUAAAAAGCCUAAACUUCAAAAAUAUAAGUGUUUUCUACUUAGUCUGAGUCAGCUCUGAUAACAGUUUCUCUGAUUUGGUCUCCCUUUUUAUCCGUGGGGUCCAACAAUGGCCUGGCUUUUAUAGCCUAAUAACUCAAAUUAACCUAAGCUUUACAGAUCAAUUAAAAAAACUCGAUUGGGCUUACCAGCCUCAGAGUUCAAAAAAGGUAAAAAGAUAAGUUAAAUUUUAAAGACUAUAAUUACUAAUGGCCUUAAAAACUGGCGAAAACUGGGUGAGUCUCUUUUCCUUCUGCCCCUUUGCAUGCGUGAUACACCCCCUAUGUUGCAGAUAUUUCCUCUUUUGAGGUUUUAUGUGAGGUUUCUAAAAAUUAGCUAAUUUAACUAAUCAAGAUCUUAUUAAGUCUCCCCAGCCUUUUCAGCUAGCUGUGACUUCCAUCCACUGGUUACUUCGCUGCUGCCCACUACAGCUAAAGAGCCUAGACACCUGGACAAGCGACCUCACCGUAAAUCUCUUGAGAGCGACCUCACCGUAAAUCUCUUAAGCCACAAUAGAUUGUCAAAAUAGCUAAAAGCCUGCCUAAAUUCAACGUUCCCAAUGCAGACAAGUCCCAACUUCAAAAGACCGUCAGCCUACAAAUAAGUAAACUGUCAUUUCUUCCAAAGACACUUUAAAGCUUAAGAUUGUCUAAUAUAACUGAUAAUUUUGUGUUCUCCUCCUUUAUAGAGACCCCAAGGAGGCCUCUGUCUGACUUAAAAAUUGUUACUUAUAUGAUAAAACAGAGUAAAUUUAAAUGUUGGUUUUCUUUCUCCUUUUGGUUAACAGCUUUAAUGACAGCUACAAGACCUUUGUUAAUCCUCCUACUGGGCCUUAUGUUGUAAACAAGUUGAUAAACUAUGUCAACGUUCUUAAAAGCUUGUGAUUUUAAAGACACAUACAAGGUUAUAAACAGAUGCAAUAAAAAAGCUAAGAGAAAAAAUUAAAUCUCAAGAGCCCCCUUCAAAUAAAGCCAAAAUGUUCUCCUUCUGGAAAUCAAUCCUGCCCUAUAUUCUCUCUUUACUGAGACCCCUGGCUGGAUUCAUUAUAGUCAUGGCUAUAGCCCCUUACCUCAUUAACCGAGUAACCCAGUUUGUGAGGGCUCAGAUCUCUCAAGUAAAGGUUAUGAUGCUACGUCAACAGUAUGACCCCUUACCAAUACAGGACCUUUAAGAUUAAAAGUCAUCAAAAAAGAAAAGGGGGGAAUGUGAGAGUUGACCCCCCUGCUAUAACCCCCUCCCCAGAGCGGGGAAUGAAAGGGUUAACUCCCUAACUCCCCAGAGUGGGGAAUAAAAGGGUUAACUCCCUAACUCCCCAGAGCUAUCAGAGCAGAGCAGAAAGAAAUGCCUAACUCCCCAGAGCUAUCAGAGCAGAGAAAAAAAAAAAAAAAAGAAAAAAUGCACCUGCAAGGUUGUUCUGUCUCAACGAGAUAAGUAAGACAAGUAACUGUUCUGUUCUGGGCACAUAGUGACUGGGCUAGGACCCCCAGUCUCCAUGGUUACUCAACCCCAAACCCCUCCAAUCAACUUCUGCCAAGUCCUAUCCUGCUCAAAA